rnacentral:rRNA from 1 species
UACGAAGGGGGCUAGCGUUGUUCGGAAUUACUGGGCGUAAAGCGCACGUAGGCGGAUACUUAGUCAGGGGUGAAAUCCCGGGGCUCAACCCCGGAACUGCCUUUGAUACUGGGUAUCUCGAGUCCGGAAGAGGUGAGUGGAAUUCCGAGUGUAGAGGUGAAAUUCGAUAGAUAUUCGGAGGAACACCAGUGGCGAAGGCGGCUCACUGGUCCGGUACUGACGCUGAGGUGCGAAAGCGUGGGGAGCAACAGG